AUACAUCAAGUAAUUGGUUUACUUCAGAGAUUACAUCAAGACAAAAAUGUGCAGCUGAUACACACUACUCCUUUAAAAACCAAGGUCGGAGGAAGAACCUGGAUCGAGAAAAACAUUCACCGAGUAGUAGAUGAAGAA